rnacentral:rRNA from 1 species
ACACGUGAUUCAGAGUUUGAUCCUGGCUCAGGACGAACGCUGGCGGUGUGCUUCACACAUGCAAGUCGAACGAGGUAGCAAUACCUAGUGGCGGACGGGUGAGUAACGCGUGGGAAUCUGCCUUUAGAUGGGGGAUAACGGGCCGAAAGGUCCGCUAAUACCGCAUAUGCCGCAAGGUGAAAGGAGUAAUCCGUCUAAAGAUGAGCCCGCGUCCGAUUAGCUAGUUGGUAGAGUAAGAGCCUACCAAGGCGACGAUCGGUAGCUGGUCUGAGAGGAUGAUCAGCCACAAUGGGACUGAGACACGGCCCAU